GCUUUCCUGUGGCUAAGUCGGUAGAACAUUUUGCUCACAACGCAAAAGUCGUGGGUUCAAAUCCCAGGGAAAGCA